GUUUACCUACUAAUCCAGGGCAAAAAUGGAUCCAGUAACACUCAGGAGACAAAUCAUUCUGAUAAAAGGUUUUAACUGAUCAUCUGGCACUUAGGGGACGGAGGACAGAGAGUGAAAAGCAUCAAGGUUCUUAUCCUUUUCUCAAAAAUUGGCCCAGCACCCAGGCUGGAACCUCCAUCUCCUCAACGAAGCAGCAAUGGGCCAAAGGGGAUGGAAAUGAUGUUCAAGUCCUGCCCCCCAAAGUGGAGAUGUGCAAGAUCCAAGUAAGGGAAAUCAUCUCCUAGACUCCAAGCCAGAAUGAUGUACCUGCAGCCCCUGCCUCUUAUUGUGGUACAGAGCUUCCUUCAGCUUAUAUUUUGUGACACUAAACAAAUAGUCCAUGCCACAGACGUGCUGGAUUGGGAAGACAAAGAUGCUGCAGAGACAUUGGUCAACAACGCUGUCCAUUCCAGGAUCAUCAACCCUUUACGCCUAUUUGUUAAGCCAUCUCCAAUGUUGAAACAUGGCCAGAUGACUUACUCAGACAGCAUAGAAAACUUUUGGGAUUGGUUAGCCAACAUCACUGAGGUUCAAGAAUCUCUUGCACGGACUAAGCGCAGACCAAUAGUAAAAACUGGGAAAUUCAAGAAAAUGUUUGGGUGGGGUGACUUCCAUUCCAACAUCAAAACUGUUAAACUAAACCUCCUCAUCACAGGGAAAAUUGUUGAUCAUGGCAAUGGAACCUUCAGUGUUUAUUUCCGACAUAACUCAACAGGUCUUGGAAAUGUUUCUGUAAGCCUGGUGCCGCCUUCCAAAGUGGUGGAAUUUGAAUCUUCUCCACAGUCAACGCUGGAGACCAAGGAAUCCAAGUCCUUCAACUGCCGAAUUGAGUAUGAAAAAACAGAUCGGGCUAAGAAAACUGCCUUGUGCAAUUUUGACCCUUCAAAGAUCUGCUACCAAGAGCAGACACAAAGCCAUGUUUCUUGGUUGUGUUCUAAACCAUUUAAAGUUAUCUGCAUUUACAUUGCUUUUUACAGUGUAGAUUACAAACUGGUGCAAAAGGUCUGCCCUGAUUAUAAUUACCAUAGUGAGACGCCCUACUUGUCCUCUGGCUGAUGUAAUUCAUAUUCUGAGUAACUGUAGAAAUACAGGAUUGGUCAUAAAUAUGAGUUUCCUUUUAUCUUCUGCAGAGGAUAGUGCUUCCCUAUCAGGUUAAAUAUGUCUUUACAAAACUUGUAGAUGUUUGUGCUGUUUCAUGAAUAUUCAACCUGUUUAUGCAACAAUCAUUUUCAUUUACACAAUUACAUUCUGGCUAUGUUGUUAAUAAGGGAAAUAUCAGAUAUUAACAAAAUGUGAUAAGGAGGAACAAAAUUAUGCAUGUGCUAAACACUGAUCUUGAAAGUUAUCUUUACUGAGGUAGGUUUAAAGGGCUGCUUUAGAUAGCAGACGCAGUGAGAUCUUUUACUUGGUAAAUACAGCACCUCGCAUCCUGGGGUCACAAUCCUGAUUGUAUUUUGUUAGCACCUACAGUUCCCAAACAACAAACAAUAAGAGGAAGACAACUGGGUCAGGCCUGCAAGCUCUCCACAUGCAAAACUCAAUUUCAACAACUCUUCAACUGAUGUCAACAAGAAUGUCACACACAGAAGAUUUGAUUAAUUGAGUCCUAAUAUUUAAAUAAAAUGCUAUUUCUAUUAAAGAAAUGAAAGAGAAUUGAAUUCCUACUCUGGGUUUUAGCAGCGAUGCAUAGUCACUGGAAUGGAAGAGCAGUUUCUUCAAAUUCUUACCUGUGAAAAUGCAAUGAUCCUUAGUCUGUUAGACCCACUAAGUGUACAGGUUUGGUGUACACUUUUCCCUAUUGUGGUCGCCAUUGUUUUGAUUUAUACUCAGAUAUUUACAUAUAUACCGGUACUAGCUUUACAGUGGUAAUAGAAUAUAAGUGUACUCUGUAAAACCAUGGUCUGUGUUCAGUGAGCCCCAGAAUAAAUAACAGAGAGUGGUUUCCAUUUAAAGGAAAGCAUUUACCUUAACAUCUUGCUAUCCAGCGCAUCCUGAUUUAUUACCUUCCUGGAAAUGGAAAAGUAUCACAAGAUAAGGCCAAUACCCCAAUAACACAUGCUUUUCUUUUUCAUGAAACCUAGUUAAACUAGUUAGUAUCUUUUAAGACAAGAAAACCACAAUCCCUGAAAAAUGAAAGGUCAACAAAAAUCUAGAACUCACGCCUCAUAUAAGAUUACAAACCACUGACAUCAGUACAGCACAUUUCAACAUAUGGCCAGAUCCUCUGGUGGUAUAAAUUUAUACCACCAGAGGAUCUGGCCCUAUAUGCUGCUUAUGUAGGGACUGAUACUGUUCCCCUGAAGUCAAUGGCAAAAUCGAUUUCAACUGUUGGGGAUCAAGCAAAAAUGACAUUUGUAUUUAUUUAUUUAUUUAUUUUGGUUGUGGUUUUUACCACCAUUGCGGAUUACCAAGAUGUGUGUGUAAAAAGAAGCCAGCUCCUGCUCCUCUUUUCUGAUGUCACAGUUUAGUGUCUGAUGUCACAGCUCUUUGCCAAGGUUUAGAAAGGGAUUGGCUGGAAAGGAGAGAGCUGUUUGUUACAUAUGAACUGAUGAGCACUGACAGAAAGGUACAUGCAUGUAAGAAGUUUUGCUAAAGCAGCUGUGCUUCUGGACCAAUAAAUAGACAGACUAUAUGUCAAAUCAAAAAGGAUGCCACUCGUUAGAUUAUUUCUCUAUUCUUACUUAUUGCAAAGCUUCAUACAGAAAAUCCUUUGUUAAAGGAAAUGUUUAAUUUGUUUUUGUCUUAAAGUUACAAAUUUAGAAAUGUGGAUUUGUUUAUAAAAAUCUAAAAGUGUCCUGUCACAGCUUAUUCCAUACAAGUGGUCUUUGGGUUUCAGAUAUUUGCAGGACAAGCAUUUGACCUGUAUAGUGUAGGCGAAGAACUCUGAGCUUGGCAAUAACCACCAUUUGGAUCAAGACAAAGCAUUUAUUGCAUAGUGGACUAUAAAUGCUGCACACCUGCAUUGACAGAUGAGGACUGUCCCUAGGGGGGUGCAGGGCCUGAGGCAGAAGCUUUCUCUGGUAGAAGAAUGAAUCUUCAAAAUAGAUGAUGCAACAAUAAAAUAAGCUACUCAAGGUAGACAGUGGAAAACUACAAGAGAGCCUACAGCAAGAUAAGCAGUCUAAGAAAUCUGGUACAAUUUGAGCAGUCUCCUCAAUUGCUGUAUGAUCAUAAUU